CCAUGAAAAGUAUUUAGGUUGGUGCAAAAGUAAUUGUGGUCUUUGCCAUAAAAGUAAUGGCAAUGCAAUUACUUUUGCACCAACCUAAUACUUUA
rnacentral:miRNA from 1 species